CGGCUACAGCCGCAGCGAAGCCUGAUGGCGGCCGUCUGAGGGGCUGAAGCUGGUAGGCCUGCAGAAGGCAGGGCAUAGGGAUACUGAAUUCGAACUGCUACUAGCUGAUUUACCCCAGGCUGGCAUUCUCACCUAUACCUCACACUCGGAAUUCGGGGGGGGGGGGGCGCAUUCGUUAUAGGACGACCGGCUGCUCUAGCCAGAGUUCCCCUGAGAAGAGGCUGAGCCAGCCGCCUCAGACUCGGGAGGGGUAGUGGAAAGCAAAGCGGACGCUGAAAGGGAGCAGGAACGCACGUGUAGGCGGAUGAGGCCGGCUCUUAUAGGGAUACCCCAGGACGCCCGUGGGCACGCAGCGGGGGCGGGCGCUGGGCAGGUACUUAAUAUCAGCUGGCAUUUCACUGGGACAGUUGAGGUUGCCCUAGCUGUGGCUAGCCAAAAAAACGGGUUCUGGCAGCUGAGUACGCUGACCAGAGAGCGUGUCGCUCUCCCUCUCCGAACAUCGCGGCCUCCACUCCCGGAAGGGCUCCUGUAGGGCCCUCAAACAAGGGUGCCGUCGGGCUCCACCCCUCCGGGAAGUGCCAGCUCCGCCCCGCUCGUUUUGAGCGGGAGGAGGAACAUUCUCAGGCCUGAAAAUAAGCUAAGCUAACCCACGGAUGCUCAGUUGUCCUGGACGCCGCCGCCGGUUCCUGACAUCCCCUGGGUCUCGGGGAGGCCUUGAGCAGGGACGCUCCCCUUGGAGGGCGCCCUCGAGACCAGGCAUGCGCACAGCUUUUGGGUCUGCUGCCCUGGAGGGUGGAGGCCAAAAGAAACCUUUGAUUUCUUUUCCCCCUAGUCUUGCUCUGACCUCCUAGGGUGACUGGGAAGACGAAUCUGGACGCUAUCCCAAGGCUGUAGCGACCGCAGUCUUGCAGGGCAAAGGGACAGUCAGCUCUACAACCUGUGGGAGAACAACUGAGUCUUGAUUUCUUUCUCCUUUCAACUUUUACCCCUUCAAUCAGAUGUUGAAAAGGGUUUUUCGUCGUUAUCGGCUCACCCUUGUAUGUUAUUGCUUGUAUGACUUAUAUUACAAGCUUACAAAUCAGAAGGGGCCCUUGAUCUGCUAAGUAGGGAGAUUUUAUGUGAUUUUUCUAAAACAAAAAAUUGCAACAUGAUAAUUAUAGAGAAAUAUUGGUAAAACUGCGAAAUACAAUUUGCAGAAGUCAAAGAAUUGGAUUUUUCUGAUGUGUAAGUCAGGCACUUCACUCUUAGGAUUCGAGAACGCUCUUCCUGUUUGCCUCAAAAUCAUCUUACACGCUUAAUUAGUUUCCUGGGACUGAUGUAACAACUACAGUAGUGGUUUAAAACAACGGAAAUUAUUGUCUGGAAUUGUGGAUGCAAGAAGUCAAAGUGUGAGUAGGGGGUGCUCCCUCUGAAGGCACUUGGAAAGGUUCUCUUCCAGGGCUCUUCUAGCUUGUGGUAGUUCUUUGACUUCUGACAGCAUAACCACAAGUUUCACAGGAUGUUCUCCCUGUUUGUGUUCAAAUUUCUCUUUCUUAUAAGAGCACUACUUAUUGAAGGGGGGGCACCCUACUCUAGUAUGACCUCGUUAUUCUUAAUUGUAUCUGCAGUGACCCUAUUUGCAUAUAAGGCCACCUUCUGAGAUGGUGCCAGUGCUGAGAUGGGAAGAGUGCAGGACACAAUUCAAUCUGUAGGGCACCAAGGCAAGUACCUUACCAUGCUUGCAUACUUGCACACAUACCUGCCAAAUUCCACAAUCAUUAUUUUAUGUGUCCAAAAGACAACUCUGGGCCUUUGUAUUGUUGCUUCUUUUUUCUUUCACUCCUUUCACUAAUCUCUUUCUAAUUUUUAAGUUCAUUUGCUUUAUUUUUUUUCCUGCUGCAUCCUUUUCUAAUUAUAUUUUAUACUAAUUUCAUAAAGCAUCUUCUAUCAUUUGGACGUAUGAGUUGAAAUUAGAAAAAGUGGCUUUGUGACCUCCCACCAACAUUAGUUCAAGCACCUUUUUGUUUUGGCUUGAAUCCACAUCCAUCCUUUCAACCUUCUUACGAUUAAAAACGGCUGGCGCUGUGGGGCACAGUGACCCAUGAGUGUGAUCCCAGCUAUUGGAAAGGUUGAGACAGGAGGAAUGCAAGUUUGAGGCCAAUCAAGACAACUUAGUGAGACCCUGUCUCAAAAAAAUAUAAAGUGGUAGACAUGUAGCUCAGUAGUAGAGGGCCCCUGGGGUUCAAUUCCCAGUCCUGCAAGCACACAAAAACCAGGGGGCUAUUCAGACAUAAUACUUCUACAGAACCCCAGGGACUGGAGCAUAAUCAUAGAGAGACCCAGUAGUGAUUGCUAGGUACAGAAGUGGAUCACUGCUUCCACAUACAACACUACCUGCCUCUCCUGUCAUAUUCAUUACCUCUAUGAGACCUUCCCUGUCUGUCUUACCUAAAAUGUCAAUACUUUCCCACUUUAUAUCCCUAUCUAUACUUAUUUCAUUAACACCAGUAGGAUGAUUAUAUAUUAUAUCUAUAUGUGUGAUAUAGCUCCUUUUGUCUAUCCCAUUUAAAUGUAAGUUCCCUAAGGACAGGAGUUUCUGUUUUUGCCUUAUUUGCCAUUAUAUGCUGAGACCAGUACUACUACAAAGCAAUGUUUAAUAAAAAUUUGCUGUAUGAAUAAAUCUCUUUUUUUUCCUUUUUAAAUGAUAUUUUAUCCAGAAAGAGCAAGAAUGGUAUUGAUUCUCUUUAUAAUAUUUCAC
rnacentral:lncRNA from 1 species